rnacentral:antisense_RNA from 1 species
UCGAUGAUGGCGUUGUAGGAGGAGUUUACCGAGCCGAAGUAGUACUGGGUCUGUUUCAUGACGCAGCUGCUCUCGCGCGUCUCGGGGCUCCCCUCGGCCUCCGCGGGGUCUGCGAGGGCCCAGAGCGCCUCAGCUCCAACCACAGACCCUGGCAAGGUCUCCGGCCUCCCUCAGUCGUAAGCCCCACCCUCCCCAUGGAGUCGUCUUAGCUCAGAUUGGGGACCCGGACUUGAGGAGGCGCCUCCAAAGCCCUGCCUACCUGCUUGGAACCAGCUGUGGUAGAUGAGGCCGUAGAGAAGCUGCUGGAAUAGGGACCUGCAGCGCACGGGGAGCCGAGUGCAGGUGGUCAGCAGAGGACGAAGCCGUGCUCUACUUCUCUUCUGAGCCCUCCCGGCCAGGGAGCACCUUCUCUACCCACCUCCCGCUCAGGACUCACCAGGCGGCAGCAGAGGUCCACCAGGCCAGGUUAAGGAAAUCUGCAACGGUGGGCUGCAGUGGAGAGAGGGGCGUGGACUGCCACUGCUGCCCCUCACCCUAGGUCACCCCCAGCUUUAUCAAAUGUCAGAGCACCAGGAAUCCUCCAUCAUCAAUGAGGACACAGAGCUGGGUGAUGCCUACGUGUUGAGAUCCUGGUCCCUCCACACACGCUCUACCAGCUGCUGCGUGAUGCCCGUGUCCAAGAUCAGGUUGUGCAGAAGGAAGUUGUUGCCUGGAACAGGAGGGGAGGGCUGGGGGUGGGGGCAUCUUCUUGCAGCUCCUUGCCCACCCUCGCCCCCACCCUCAAGGCUCCACCAGGAGCCUCCUCCAUGACCUGGCCCAGGCCCAGCCCUCAGCUUGUGCCUGCUUAUUUCCACACCUGCCCGGCCUCUGGGUUCCUCUGGGCUGCCCCAUGCUGCCUGGGCACUGCCCAGAGCCAGCUGCCCUGCCAGGCACUCACACUGCUUGGAGUCUGGAGUCACUUUCUCCAUGAGCUCAAUAAAGUUUUUCAGGAACUCGG